GAGGGUACAGCUCAAGUGGUAGAGUGCAUGCUUAACAUGCAUGAGGCCUUGGGUUCAGUCCCUAAUACCUCCU
rnacentral:tRNA from 1 species